rnacentral:pre_miRNA from 1 species
CCUUAUGGAUAAGCAAAGAAAGUGGUUCUUGAGAUGAAAUCUACUCUUGGUGGAGAUGCUGUGAA